rnacentral:ncRNA from 1 species
UACAAUUUAAUGUUGCAAAUGAUACUAAAAAAGACCUGCAGAAAAAAAUAAGGUUUUAAAGCCGAUUUGCAUCGGCGGCAAGCGCUAACCCUGACGCUCGAACCCAGUUGGGAAAAAUUUGCGCAUCAAAAGAGAGGGAAAAAUUGCCUUCUGAAGAUUUUAGAAUUUAGAUGAACGAUAAAAUAUCAUUUGAAAAACGUGAGGUAGCCAAAUGCCUCGUCAUCCAAUUAGUCCGUAAUUCAAAUUCUAUUUUAAAGUGCUCCCGAGGGGGCUCGAACCCCUGUCCUUCGGUUCAUAAGACCAACGCUCUAACCAGCUGAGCCACGGGAGCUUGGGGCAUCUAAAUGCCUCGCCAUCUAAUUAGUGACGUGCAUGAAUGGAUUAACGAGAUUCCCACUCUCCCUAUCUACUAUCUAGCGAAAUCACAGCCAAGGGAACGGGCUUGUUGGAAUCAGCGGGGAAAGAAGACCCUGUUGAGCUUGACUCUAGUCCGACUUUGUGGAACGACUUAGGGGGUGUAGCACAGGCGGGAGCUUCGGCGAUCGUGAAAUGCCACUACCCUCAGUGUCCUUUUACUUAUUCCAUCAAGUGGAGAAGCAUGCAACGCAUGUAUUUUUGCCUUACGGUGCCCCUCGGGGUGCUGAGCAAUGCGGAAGACACAGUGAGGUGGGGAGUUUGGCUGAGGCGGCACAUUUGUGAAACAAUAGCGCAGGUGUNAAGGGGAAAAUCUUGCUUGAUUUUGAUUUUCGAACCUCUUGUACACAAAGAACCCUAUCUUGUCUGGCCCUCCUACAGACUUAAGGUUGCUGUUUAGCGGCUGAGCACGCACAUCCCCUUCUGUGAAGCAUAGAUCAAUCCCAGGCCCCACUACGAGCUGAAGACAAAGGGUCUAAGAACUCAUGAGCAGCAUCAGAAGUGGAAUAAAUUGAUUGCUCAGAGUGCUGAUCUCGAAUGCGUGCCUCCAGCUCACUGAGUUGAAUAGGACAAUCUCGGCUUCUAGGUUGAUCUUCAUCAGCUAGUCGUUGCUCCACACACUUCUUUCUGUCUUUCAUGUAGAGUGCUUGGAGGCUUUGUGCUCACUUUUCUUUGAGGAUCAUGAUGAGGCGAA